rnacentral:rRNA from 1 species
AGAGUUUGAUCCUGGCUCAGAUUGAACGCUGGCGGCAUGCCUUACACAUGCAAGUCGAACGGCAGCACGGGAGCAAUCCUGGUGGCGAGUGGCGAACGGGUGAGUAAUAUAUCGGAACGUGCCCAGUCGUGGGGGAUAACGUAGCGAAAGCUACGCUAAUACCGCAUACGAUCUAUGGAUGAAAGCGGGGGAUCGCAAGACCUCGCGCGAUUGGAGCGGCCGAUAUCAGAUUAGGUAGUUGGUGGGGUAAAGGCUCACCAAGCCGACGAUCUGUAGCUGGUCUGAGAGGACGACCAGCCACACUGGGACUGAGACACGGCCCAGACUCCUACGGGAGGCAGCAGUGGGGAAUUUUGGACAAUGGGCGCAAGCCUGAUCCAGCAAUGCCGCGUGCAGGAUGAAGGCCUUCGGGUUGUAAACUGCUUUUGUACGGAGCGAAAA